rnacentral:lncRNA from 10 species
CAAGGACCAGCACAGGACGAAGCCCGCCGCCGACUGAGUGCCAAGUGUCAUAGUCUGUAGUUUAAUCCCCGCAUCUAACUGUCCUCAUGAGGUGGAGGUGAAGGUCAAGCACAGAGCCCUCCUGGCAUAUCCAGUGCUCUCUCCGUUAUGAGGAGGGGUAAGGAGUGAGGAUGGUGUUUCCGGGAAAGCAGAGGUGAGGCCCGCUGGACUCCAGGCAGCUCUCUGCUCUCCUUGCCUUUUGCCUCAGAUUUUUGCAUGUCAGUCGGUCUGGAGAGGAGAUGAUGCUCUGAAGGUGCUGCCUGGCUCUGAACUGUGGAAGCCAAGAGCUCUGGUGGGGUUGGAACUGAAGGUCCACCACAUUUGCCCCAAGAAGAACAUCCUUGCUGGCCUUGCUGAGGGAGCCUGGCAUGCAUCAUGCUUGGCAAUUGUCUUCCUGAGACUCCCCUGCUGGGACAGCGACAGGGCAUGGGGCCCUGAAUGCAUGACAACAACAACUGCAGGUCUCCUGACCCUUGUUUGUAGAGGUGGGUCAUCUCUAGUACCGACCUCCAUCCACCUGCGAAGCAGGGCUGGUCACUUUGUUACCAGCCACAGCCCUCCCCUGGAGGGAUCUGCAGUGUAAACGGAUCAUGUGAGUGCUGACCUUUGCAAAGGUCCAAAUGUGGUCAAUUCAGUUAUUCAUACCAGGCAAGGAAGCUGCCUUAUGAAUAAUUCAAAGUUGUUGCAAAUCCACAAACCUUUUUCACAUUGCCUGCUUGCAGUAGGCUCUCCAUAAAUGUUUACUGAAUCACUGAAUAAAUUAACAUAUGAAUGAAUAUUUUGCAAUAAGCUUUUGGUAUUUACAUUUGCACAUCCAUCUGUUGAUGCUCUGAGGAUCAGCAGCAGUCCUCACAAAAGGGCUCAGGCAUGCUCCCAAAACAGGCCAGAAAAGCCAAGUGGGCCAUGGUUCUCUCUUGCUCUGCAAGGGUGGCGGGGAAUAGAAAAAAAUGUUCCCAUGGCUGAUACAGCCUCUAGCUAGAAGCUGUGAGAUUCCUGACACACGCCAUGCCAGAUUUGUGUGGCUUAACACUUUUAUUCUGCUUUUAUAACCCUCUCCUCUAGCUUUGGUUAAAACUACUAUGUGGUCAGCAGAAUGGCCCCCCAAAGAUGUUUGGGCCCUCACCCCUGGAAACUGUGACUAUGUUACAUCAUGUGGGAAGAGGACUUUGCAGAUAUGAUUAAAGUUAUGGACCUUACAAUAGAGAAUUAUCUUGAAUUAUCUGGGCAGGCCCAACCAAAUCACAUGUGUCCUCAAAAGCGAAGAACUCUCUUCACGGGAGUCCGAGAGAUGGGGCUGAAGGAGAAGUGGGAGGGAUGGAAAGGUGAGAAUGCUCCAUGGGCUGUUAGGGGCUUGCAGAGGGUGGGGCAGUGAGUCCAGGAAUGCAGGUGGCCCCAAGGAGCUGA